GGAAUCGCUAGUAAUCGUGGAUCAGAAUGCCACGGUGAAUACGUUCCCGGGCCUUGUACACACCGCCCGUCACACCAUGGGAGUGGGUUGCAAAAGAAGUAGGUAGCUUAACCUUCGGGAGGGCGCUUACCACUUUGUGAUUCAUGACUGGGGUGAAGUCGUAACAAGGUAACCGUAGGGGAACCUGCGGUUGGAUCACCUCCUUACCUGAAAGAAGC
rnacentral:rRNA from 1 species